UAUGAAAGAUUAACUUCUGCGAAAGCAUCUGCCAAGGAUGUUUUCAUUAAUCAAGAACGAAAGUUAGGGGAUCGAAGACGAUCAGAUACCGUCGUAGUCUUAACCAUAAACGAUGCCGACCAGCGAUUAGGAGACGUUGAAUACAAAACACCACCAUCGGUGCGGUCGUCCUUGGCGUCUUUGUUUCGGCCGGGGUGCGGGGACGGCUUAGCCCGGUGGCACCGGUGAAUGACUCCCCUAGCAGCUUGUGAGA
rnacentral:rRNA from 1 species